AAUCUCGAGAAGUGUUUUCCGCGUUGGCCUGUGUACAAGUCCCUUGGAACAGGGCGUCAUAGAGGGUGAGAAUCCCGUCCUUGACACAGACACCCAAUGCUUUGUGAUACACUCUCAAUGAGUCGAGUUGUUUGGGAAUGCAGCUCAAAAUGGGUGGUAAAUUCCAUCUAAAGCUAAAUACUGGCGAGAGACCGAUAGCGAACAAGUACCGUGAGGGAAAGAUGAAAAGCACUUUGGAAAGAGAGUCAAACAGUACGUGAAAUUGUUGAAAGGGAAACGAUUGAAGUCAGUCGUGCCUGCCUAGAUUCAGCCUUCUGGUGUAUUUCUAGGUCGGCAGGUCAGCAUCAGUUUGGGGGGGUUAACAAGGGAGCUGGGAAUGUGGCAACCUCGGUUGUGUUAUAGCCCAGUUUCGCAUUGAUCUCGCUGGACUGAGGAACGCAGUGCGCCCGCAAGGGUUGGUCUUCGGACACAUUCGCACUUAGGAUGCUGGCAUAAUGGCUUUAAACGACCCGUCUUGAAACACGGACCA
rnacentral:rRNA from 1 species